AAUUUCAAAAUGACUAACUUAGGUGAUAUACAUAAUUUUCUCGGAAUUGAAGUUGUAAAAGGUAAAAAAGGGUACAAGUUAGGACAAUCAGAGUACAUCAGGAAACUUGUAAAGAGAUUUAACUUGGAAAAUGCAAAACCUUCGCGGAUACCAAUAGAGCUAGGUUAUUUAAAGCAGAAGGAGGAGGAUUGUGAGCCUUUCUCGGACAAUAAGAACUAUCUGAGUCUCAUUGGCGGUCUGCUUUACAUUGCAGUUCAUACUAGAUGAGAUAUCGCCAUAAGUACAUCCAUUUUGGCACAAAAGUCAAGUAAACCCAAUCAACAAGAUUGGAUAGAGGCGAAAAGAGUUUUACGGUAUCUGAAUGCGACCAUUGAUUACAAGUUACAGCUAGGUUCGACAAAUGAUCAAGUACAAAUGUACGUAGACGCCGACUGGGCUAGCGACACCAACUUGGAGUUCUCGAAAACAAACCUGCGUUGCUUUAAGUUCAACUGAAGCAGAGUUUGUGGCACUAGCUGAGGGUUGUCAAGAGCUGAUAUGGACAAGACAUUUGCUAGAAGAAAUAGGAGUAGUAAUAGAACAGCCGAUUGAGGUAUUUGAAGACAAUCAGAGCUGUAUAAAAAUGGUAAACAGCGAACGUAUUGAGAGACGAAGCAAACACAUUGAAACCUGUUAUUUCUUUGUACGCGAUUUACAACAGAAACAAAUGAUAAACGUAACAUAUUGUCCUACGGAAAUGAUGUAGGCGGAUUUGUUAACAAAGCCUCUAGCGCGUGUUAGAUUAAGUAAAUUGCGUCAGGAAAUUGGACUGGUUGAGUGUUAGUAGCUUAGUUCGAGGAGGAGUGUUGGUGGAUCGAACUGACAGUUAAGAACUAACCGACAAACGUCAAAUGGUUGAUACUUGUACAACCUGGACAUUAUGUAUAUUCAUGUAAAUAAAUGUUCUCUCUUGAGUCUAAUGUAAAGCAGAGCAGACGUGCGUUUCUAAUAGAAUUAGUACCAAAACCGGAAGGGAAGAAUUUGGUAAACUGCAAAUGUGUUCUUAAAAUUAAGCGUGAUGAGGCUGGUAAUGUAGAUAGAUACAAAGCUAGGCUAGUAGCUAAAGGUUGCUCUCAAAGAAAAGGGUUUGACUACGCCGAAACAUAUGCACCCGUAGCGAAAAUAACCACUGUUAGAACGCUGUUGGCUGUGGCCAACAAGAGAGGGUAUUAUAUACAUCAAAUGGAUGUGAAAAUCGCCUUCUUAAAUGGUUUGCUUAAGGAAGAGAUUUGUGGCGACCACUGUGCAGACAGGAACCAAUGGUUUGCACCAACUGGGAACUGUCGGUAAAUCGAGAUGUCAACUUUGACAGUUACCGCGCCGGCAAAGACACACCAUCUACAACCAUAGUCGCGUGCGGUAGUGUUCUCGAGCGAAUGUGAUAAAAAAUAGUUUACCGAUCCCAAAUUAAAAAAGUAGCAAAUAAAAAUAAUAAAAAAGCUAAAGAUUUAUAUGAAGCAACGGGAAGGGUAGCGUAGCGAACACCCAAAUAUGGUUUGCAAAUUACGCAAGGCUUUAUAUGGCUUGAAGCAAGCUCCUAGGAACUGGAACGAAAAAUUUGAUUGGUUCAUAACAAGUAUCGGCUUUACGCGGUCGAGUGUAGAUACUAUUGAAUAACAAUAUCCGCUAUAGAACACUGUGCGAUCCUGCUAUAAAUUAUAGCACAUGACAAAACUGACAUUUAGACUUUAAGAUAGGUUAACGGAAAUGUUCAUUACCACGUUUCAAUCUGUUAAUCUUCCCUACAACGGUCUAGGAAUCAUUUCCUCAAUAGGCUAUGGGCCCAGGGUUCGUGUAUAAAGAAAAGGAAUAAACGUGUGUGGUAAUCUGUGAAAAUGGCAGACCGGGAGUCGGAGCUAGUGAGGAUUCCGAUGUUUGACGGUACUAAUUUUCCAUCAUGGAAGUUCCGAAUGUUAACAGUGCUUGAAGAGCAUGACUUGCAAGAGUGUUUGGAACAGGAGGUGGAAGAAAUAGUGACGCUGAUGAUCAAGGACGAAGACAGCGAAGCCGUUCAAAAACAAAAGAAGCAUGAGGCGGAAAAGCGGCGGAAGAAGGAUCGUCGAUGUAAAUCGCUGAUUGUUUCCCGGAUUUGCGACAGCCAUCUGGAAUACAUACAGGAUGAACCAACACCAAAGGUGUUGUGUAUGGAACUGUCUUUUUUUUUGUAUUGUCCAACCUUCCAUCGAUCGAGUGUUGACGUUGACAGCCGAACUGUCAUUCGUGUGCUCUUCUUCUACUGCGUGACGCGGACUACCACGUUCUUUACGGAGUCAUUCGUUUAUUCAUUAUAAUUUUAGUUUAAUAAAUUAGCAGAACAUAACAUAAUAACAGAACAUUUUGGUGUCAGAAUUGGGAUUGAGAUCAGCUCGGUCCAAAUCAGUUCGAGUGCCUCUCUAAUUGCGAUCCAGAAACGUGCAGUGAUCCCGAGAAAAAAAGUGCGACCGAGACGCCUGAUCCAUCGUUAGCGUGCGUUAUACAAAAUGGCUACAAUCGACACCGAAAGCAUGAAAGCGCUGUCCGCCAUGAUUGCGCACGCUAUACAAUCCGCAAUUGGCACCGCCGUCGGGCUAGCCAAAGAAGUCAACGCAGCUUCUUCCCAACCGAAGGUUCCAUCCUUCUCCCACGAACCAUAUCAACGAACCGAAGGAAUGACCGUCGCCGAUUAUUUCGACAGGCUGGAAUGGGCGCUUCAGCUAAACAACAUUCCCAAGCAGAAAUACGCCGAUUACGCACGUGUGCAUAUGGGGUCGGAACUAAACACCGCUUUUAAGUUCCUCAUUACGCCGAAGAGCCCAGAAGAAGUACCGUAUUCCGAGCUCCGCUUAAUACUUCAGCAGCAUUUCGACGAGGCGAAAAACAAAUUCGUCGAAAGCAUCAAGUUUCGUAACAUACGGCAGCAGAAAGGUGAAACUAUCGCACAGUUUGUUUUGCGACUAAAACAAGGUGCAGCUCUCUGCGAGUACGGGUCGUUUCUUGACCGGAUGCUCAUCGAACAAAUGCUUCAUGGGUUCGAAGAUCGUGCAAUUUGUGACGCUAUCGUUGCAAAAAACCCAUCCACGUUUAAAGAAGCAUUUGACAUCGCUGUCACCAUGGAAGCGACACAUAAUACUGCACGAGAAGUAGGAGCUGUCUCUCCGGUACCAGAAACAACGCAUCGGCUAAGAUACGAAAAGCCGCGCAUCAAGAAACAACAGCCACGUCGAACAACCCCCGCUAAACGGAACCAUCAUCCUCGCAGUACCCACCUGAGUGUCACACCUCGUGAAAAUGUCUGCAAUGGUUGUGGUGAGCGUCACCUACGGAGCCAGUGCAAUUACCGCAACGCGCGAUGCAACAAUUGCAACCGUAAGGGACACAUUGCGAGGGUAUGUCGAUCUCAACAAAAAGUGUCUUCAUCUCCACCGGCUCGAGUGCAGCAUAGUUCCGACAUCGAUUUUAUACAGUCUCUGCAACACAUCCAUAACAUUCAGUCCUCGAACAAAUCCUUGAUAGACGUGCAAAUCAAUGGUCACCCCCUUACAAUGGAGUUGGACACCGGAGCACCCUGCGGAAUAAUCAGCGAAUCAACGCUUCGGAAGAUCAUUCCGAAUUAUUCUCUGCAACCCUCAGAUCGUCAAUUUUUGAGUUACACGGGUCAUCGCAUUAACUGCACUGGUCACCGGCUCGUUCAAGUAUCCGUUGGGGAAACUACUAAAAAUCUGUUCUUGUAUAUUGUAGCUGGCAAAUACGAGUCAUUGUUCGGACGCGAUUGGAUAGCACAGUUCGUCGAACAGAUUAACUUCCGUGAUUUGUUUACUACUGCAUCUACAGUAAACGCACUCUCGAGCAUAGAAUCAUCACCAGAGCAAGCAGCGCAAUUAUCUAAACUGCUAAAAGAUUUUGACGGCAUCUUCAGUGACGUUCCAGGAAUGCUAACGGGUCCACCAGCAAAGGCACACCUAAAACCAGACGCUACUCCAGUCUUCGCCCGUGCACGCGAUGUACCUCUUGCUCUACGCGAACGUUACGCCGGCGAAAUAGAUAAAAAGCUUGCGUCUGGAUUCUAUGAAAAAGUGGAUUUCUCAGAGUGGGCUUCGCCUACCCACAUCGUGAUGAAAAAAAACGGAAGCAUUCGGAUAACAGGGAACUACAAGCCAACCGUUAAUCCCAAGAUGGUUGUCGAUGAACACCCAAUCCCUCGAAUCGAAGAUAUCUUCAACAAGAUGAAGGGAGCAGCUCUGUUCUGUCAUCUCGACGUAACAGAUGCCUACACGCAUCUCCCUAUCGACGAAGAGUUCCGCCACGUUUUGACGCUGAACACAUCCACGCAUGGAUUAAUCCGUCCCAGGAGAGCGGUAUACGGAGCUGCAAAUAUACCAGCUAUUUGGCAGCGUCGUAUGGAAGCGAUUCUUCAAGACUCGACCAACAAGGUCAGUUUUUUUCGAUGACGUGAUCGUGUUCGCGAAGAACUUCGAAGAAAUGCUCUCAGCUCUUAACGCGACAUUGAAACGGAUGCAGCAAAACGGUCUUCGUCUUAAUCGUUCCAAAUGCAUCUUUGCUGCAACAUCGCUGGAAUGCCUGGGUCACCGCAUCGAUCGGCAUGGGCUACACAAAUCUGAUCGGCACAUCGCAGCUAUACGGGACGCACCAAAACCAUCUACACCCGAAAAACAUCAAUUGUUCCUUGGUGCUCCGCAUAUGGGUGGAGUAUGGGAGCGUAUGGUACGCUCAGUGAAAGCUGCAAUCAGCACGGUGAUGGAGGUAAAGAACACACCUGAUGACGAGACGUUCGAGACCAUACUGCAUGACGCUGAAGCUAUGAUCAACUCCAGACCUUUGACGUAC